rnacentral:misc_RNA from 1 species
UCUUUCUCUCGCUCCCUCCCUUGUCACAUUAACAUCCAUGAAGAGGUCGCACGUGUGAAUAACAUCUCGGUUUAACUACCGUUACACAUAUUUUGUAUACAUAAAUCUAUGUAUAUAUUUACAUAUAUAUACACACGCGCUAGCAUUUCCAGACAUAAUGUAAAACAUCGUUUGUUGGUCAUUUCCUGAAAAAAAUCUUUCCAUGCAGUGGAAUAGAGAGAGACCUCUGCAGGCAACUAAUGAACAAUAAAUAACAAUUCCAGGAGUAUAUUUUAACCCUCAACUGUCUAGCAAUGAAGACUUUUAAAUCAUAUUCUGGCAUUAAAAUCAAAGUGGACUCAACACAAAGACGCUCAAUGAAGGAUACAACUGUUAAUAUUCCACUAUCAGGAGAUGAGAAGAAUGGCAAAGAACUUGUUAAUGGAUGCCUUUGGCGGAUUAUGCUUCUUUUUGGGGUGUUCAUAUAUGGAUCUUAUACAGUAUUGGUGCAUCUCUGUGAAAAAGAUGGCAAAAUUCCUUUUAGUUCUUCAUCAAUGGUUCUGAUCACAGAAAUAAUGAAGAUUGUGAUCUCUGUAACCUUAUUUUCCAUCGACAGCUGGAAAACUGGCUUCCAGGUUCCAUCUUUUUGGUUUUGUAUUCCAUUCGCAGUUCCAGCCAUUCUGUACUUCAUAAAUAACAACAUAGCUGUACAUAUGCAACUACAAAUGGACCCCACAACUUACCAGGUCUUGAGUAAUUUAAAAAUAGCCACUACAGCUUUAUUAUACCGGUUAAUUAUUAAACGGCCUAUAACAUCAAUACAGUGGAUAUCUCUUGGUUUGUUAACUGUUGCUGGUGUUUUUGACAGUUAUGGUGGCUUCCAAGCGAAAGGUGGUAAAACUGCUGGAGAAAUCCAUAUAUCUAUUAAAGGUUUAUUCAUGAUUGUCCUCUACUGCUUCAUUUCUGGACUCUCCGGGGUCUACACAGAGUAUAUUCUGAAACAAAAUUCUCAGAGUUCCCUUCAUUUGCAAAAUAUUUUAUUAUAUUCCUUUGGUAUUGUACUCAAUUUUGGUAUGUGGACAAUUCAAGCCAGCAAUCAUUAUGAAGAAAAAGAUAGUUUUUCCCUUUUCAAAGGAUAUUCUGUAUACACAUGGAUCAUUAUCAUUACUCAAGCUGUCAAUGGUCUCAUCAUGUCCGCCGUCAUGAAACACGCCAGCAACAUCACUCGUCUAUUUAUCAUCUCCUGUGCUAUGCUCAUCACCACUGUACUUUCCAUCCUCAUCUUCAAUCUCCAGCUGAACAUCUACUUUGGUUGUGCCUUCAUUUGUGUUAUUAUAGCCUUGGCUCUUUACCACACCUAAUGGCCUGGUGGGGUGGAGAGGCUGUCCCCUGGUCACAGUGGCGGCGGCAGUGGUGGUGGUGGUGGUGGUAGUGGCGUCAGCGGCGGUAGUGGAGUUGGGAUUGAGUGAAAUUAGUCAUUUGGCCAUUGUUACAUGCAGUGUGUGAGGGGGGGGGUGCCUUGGGAGAGAGAGA